rnacentral:rRNA from 1 species
GACGAACGCUGGCGGCGUGCUUAACACAUGCAAGUCGAACGGAAAGGCCCUGCUUUUGUGGGGUGCUCGAGUGGCGAACGGGUGAGUAACACGUGAUUAACCUGCCCUUGACUUUGGUAUAACUUCAUGAAACUGGGGCUAAUACCGGAUAGGAGCUCCUGCUGCAUGGUGUGGGUUGGAAAUUUUCGGCGGUUGGGGAUGGACUCGCGGCUUAUCAGCUUGUUGGUGGGGUAGUGGCUUACCAAGGCUUUGACGGGUAGCCGGCCUGAGAGGGUGACCGGCCACAUUGGGACUGAGAUACGGCCCAGACUCCUACGGGAGGCAGCAGUGGGGAAUAUUGCACAAUGGGCGGAAGCCUGAUGCAGCAACGCCGCGUGCGGGAUGACGGCCUUCGGGUUGUAAACCGCUUUCGCCUGUGACGAAGCGUGAGUGGCGGUAAUGGGUAAAGAAGCACCGGCUAACUACGUG